rnacentral:misc_RNA from 1 species
AACUUUUUAUGUUGAUCUUGGCUUUGAACCCAAGUGGAUUGGCAUAAGAAUUCAAUCUCUUAAUGUUGAUCUGUUCGAUUAAAAAAUAUCUCAAACAAGGAUGUCAAAAUGUAGAAGUAUUCUCACGGUGAAUAUCUCUGUACUAUAAAUAAAGUUCAUACAAUGAACAAAAUAUGGUUUAAGGAGAAAUCACCUUGAUAUGCAAGAACUUGAAGGCAAUGAAUAACUAUAACUUACAUUGCAUUGUUUUGUACUGCAG